rnacentral:rRNA from 1 species
UACAGAGGGGGCAAGCGUUGUUCGGAAUUACUGGGCGUAAAGGGCGCGUAGGCGGCCUUCUAAGUCGAACGUGAAAUCCCCGGGCUCAACCCGGGAACUGCGUCCGAUACUGGAAGGCUUGAAUCCGGGAGAGGGAUGCGGAAUUCCAGGUGUAGCGGUGAAAUGCGUAGAUAUCUGGAGGAACACCGGUGGCGAAGGCGGCAUCCUGGACCAUGACUGACGCUGAGGAGCGAAAGCCAGGGGAGCAAACGGG